rnacentral:rRNA from 1 species
UACGGAAGGCAGCAGUGGGGAAUAUUGCACAAUGGGCGCAAGCCUGAUGCAGCCAUGCCGCGUGUAUGAAGAAGGCCUUCGGGUUGUAAAGUACUUUCAGUCGUGAGGAAGGUGUUAAGGUUAAUAACCUUAGCAAUUGACGUUAGCGACAGAAGAAGCACCGGCUAACUCCGUGCCAGCAGCCGCGGUAAUACGGAGGGUGCGAGCGUUAAUCGGAAUUACUGGGCGUAAAGGGCACGCAGGCGGUUAAUUAAGUUGGAUGUGAAAUCCCCGGGCUUAACCUGGGAAUGGCAUUCAAGACUGGUUAGCUAGAGUCUUGUAGAGGGGGUAGAAUUCCAUGUGUAGCGGUGAAAUGCGUAGAGAUGUGGAGGAAUACCGGUGGCGAAGGCGGCCCCUGGGACAAAGGCUGACGCUCAUGUGCGAAAGCGUGGGGA